rnacentral:lncRNA from 1 species
CUCUCUCUCUGCCUCACCGGUACACGGCGGCGCCGGCGCCGGCGAGCGCCGCCUCGUCGGCUCCUCCCCCCGUCCUAUCUCUCCCUUCCCUCUCUCCCUCUCUCCAUGGCAGAAACCAAACAAAAAUUAAAAAUUCUUCCCAAAAUUGAAGAAAUUGCAGAAACCAAAUCGAAGAAAUCGAAGAAACCAAAUCGAAGAUUUCAGAAACCAAAUCGAAGAAACCAAACAAAUUUUUCAGAAAUCAGAUCGAAAUUAAUUCCAAACAAGUUUCGAAAUUAAAUCCCCAAAUCGGAGCCCUAUAUUCCCAAAUCCACGGCCUCCUCUCGAAUCCACAACUCCACAAAUCGGAGCCCUAGAGGAGGGCGGCGCGCUGGAGGAAGGAGAAGAUGGACGGCGGACGUGGACGACGUGGAAGGACGACGAGGGA